rnacentral:lncRNA from 1 species
GCCAGGUAGAAAAAUGGCAGAAAAAUAAAAGACGGACAUCAGAGUAUUUUUCAGUACACCAAAACGCAAAGUAAGAACCCUAGUAGCCUAAUAUCUCAAAGACUAGUUGAUAAAAUGUUCAUAAGAAAGAAAUGAAAUUCUAAUGGAAAUGUUUCACAAUGAUGUCAUUAGGCAGAGCAGGCAACAGAUGGCACACAGACAGCAGAGUUGGGGACAGAUAUGCAGGGACAGACUGGCAGAGACAGGGAGUCUCAGGUAAGUUUGUUGAGUCUUUGUUUGGCAACAUUAUGAAAGGUUCUCCAUUUAUUUUACUUUUAUCCUAAAAAAACGUCAUAAUCCUUGCCGAUGAGAAGCAUACCCGUAACAUGAUGCAGCCACCACCAUGCUUGAAAAUAUGAAGCGUGGUACUCAGUGAUGUGUUGUGUUGGAUUUGCCCCAAACUUAACGCUUUGUAUUCAGGACACAAAGUACAUUUCUUUGCCAAUUUUUUUGCAGUUUUCCUUUAGUGCCUUAUUGCAAACAGGAUGCAUGUUUUGGAAUAUUUGUAUUCUGUACAGGCUUCCUUCUUUUCACUCUGUAAUUUAGGUUAGUAUUGUGGAGUAACUACAAUGUUGUUGAUCCAUCCUCAGUUUUCUCCUAUGACAGCCAUUAAAUUCUGUAACUUUUUUUAAAGUCACCAUUGAUUUCAUGGUGAAAUCCCUGACUGGUUUCCUUCCUCUCCGGCAACUGAGUCAGGAAGGACGCCUGUAUCUUUGUAGUGACUGGGUGUAUUGUACUUAAUAAUUUCACCAUGCUCAAAGGGAUAUUCAGUGUCUGCAUUUUUGUAUUUUUACCCAUCUACCAAUUGGUGCCCUUCUUUGCAAGGCAUUGGAAAACCUCCCUAGUCUUAGUGGUUGAAUCUGUGUUUGAAAUUCACUGCUCGACUGAGGGACCUUACAGAUAAUUAUAUGUGUGGGGUACAGAGAUGAGGUAGUCAUUCAAAAAUCAUGUUAAACACUAUUAUUGCACACAGAGUGAGUCAAUGCAACUUAUGUGAUUUGAUAAGAGAAUUGUUAAUCCUGAAAUUAUUUAGGCUUGCCAUAAAAAGGGUUUGAAUACUUAUUGACUCAAGACAUUUCAGCUUUGAAUUUUUAAUGAAUUAGCCAACAUUUCUACAAACAUAAUUCCACUUUGACAUGAUGGGAUAUUGUGUGUAGGCCAGAGACAACAUUUCAAUUUAAUCCAUUUUAAAUUCAAGCUGUAAAACAACAAAAUGUGUAAAAAGUCAAGGGGUGUGAAUACUUUCGAAAGGCACUAUAGCUAUUCCAUUAUAUUGUACACCCCUUUAACAGCCUUUCCUAACAGUUAAUAUCACAAUUGUAACCAAAUGUUUGCCAUAGUUUACCAUUGUACUGUAAACCAUGAAUGAGAGAGGGCUACUGUAUGUAUGUUGCAAAUAAAACAUAGAAUAAACUGAAAUAUAUGAAAGGUGGAAAUACUGUAUCAUUAGCCAGUAGGUAACAGAUAUUCUAUAAUUACGAUAAAAGUUUAUCGGCACACGACUAGAGAAGCCAUGCAGCUUACCUGGGCUCUGGGAUGCUUUUAGUCCAGAUUUUCUUGCCUGGCAAAUGCCCUGAUACAGCAGUAGAACUAUCCCUAGAGUAAGUCUGUGAUUGUUUGAUGUGAGCAUCGCUCCCUCAACCUGCCAUACACAUUUAGUCCUGUGAGCAUCCACCUGCUGCCCCCACCACUGAUACCAAUUUAAGACAUUGGCAAAGGCAGUGAUAUCAGUGGCAUAGAACAAAAUGGCCCCGCCACUUCUGUGUGUGCCUAGCUACCAGAUGAAUCCUGGAGAUUUCUGUGAAAUUCUGGUAAAAAUAGUGCCAGCCUGCUCAGUGCCAUCCCCGCCCACUCUGCAUGUUACAUGGAGUGGCACUGGUUGGGAGGGAGGACAGUCAGUAUGGUGGGGGUUUGGGAACCUGUGAACAGUUGGGAGUUAUUGAUGUGGAAAAUUGGUCAGGGAGCAUGCGUCACUUGUGUCCACAUGGAAAUAGACAAUGAGUUUGUGAUAACAAAUGGCUCCAUUCUGACAACCAAUGACCCUCUCUGUCUGUGUCAAAAACCUACAACUAUAGCUUACGCCAACUAAGAAUCAAGGCUCUCGAAGGAGACAUUUUGUUUCUGUUAAAACUCUGGUAAGAGCUAACUGGAUCUUAUACUUCAGCCAAAUACAUUCAUACCCAGUUUGUGUGUGUAUAGAGAGGUACACCGUGUGUCAAGGUUGGCUAGGGAUCCAGAGUGUUCUGUGAUAUCCAGACGGACACGGCUGUAAAACAGAGCAUUGCAGGAAAAAGCUAUUUCCUGGAACCCUGGCUUUGCGCUGGCCGAGCUAUUAUCAGCAGUCUUUCUGGCACAGGCAGGAGGGGACUAGUGCCUGCUAUAACAACAAGACCGCCACCAAAAAGAAUAUGAAGUGCCAGUACUCACAUAUCCCAUGUCCAGACACUCAAACUUGUUGGCUGAGCUGAGGAAGGCUGAACGAACCUUGGAGAGGGCAUCAGUGAGGGUCAGCGGUCAACCACACUGGAGGGCUGGUGAAUAAUUAACUGUCCAGGUAAUAACUAAUAAUCUAUCCCCACUGUCAAUUUUAUUCAUGGGUAUAAUUUAGUUCCAUGUGAGUUCAGCAAUUAGUUGGAGAUAUGAGUUAGGGGUGUCUGAUGACCUAACCUGCAGGGUUAGCAGAAGGACAACAAGGUGUGAUAUCUGCGCUCCUUAGCGUCUUUUCCUUUUCUUCAUGUUGGCUGCAAACACACACACAACAUUACCACUACACAACUAUCCCCUCGAUGCAGAGGGUUAAGUAAUACCCACACAACAACACAGAAACUCAUGCUCUAUAUAUCCAGGUCCUUAUCUAUAGUCUGCUUCCCAUUACAAACACACACACACACAGACAGACACACAGACACAGAAACACACAGCCUGCCAUAAAUAGCCUUUAACUCCCUUCUGGGAAUCCAGACAGUCACUGGUCUGCUUCUAGGCAGCGGGGCAAGAAAGAUGGAGGACUAAGGGCACAAAAAUCUCAUAAAAAAUCUCUACACAAUGCAAUCUGAUACACUUUCUCCCUCACACACUCCAGAGACAGUAAUGCUGCCGUCCAGUGGCCCCCAGGCUGUAGCUUCCUGCUCCACUAGCUGUGAUGGACUGCUCCCAGAAAACACUUCAGAGGUUAUCUACACACAUUUUUCAUGUAACCACGAACUACAGCCGUGGAACGAUGAGUAUUGUUUGAAGCAGUCUUCACUCUGUUUGCCUUGCCAUUCUUGUUUUAACUGUGUACUGUAAAGUCUCUCUCAUGGGGCCAAAUGGAAACUGGCCUACACCAGGGUUCUGGCAUAGAAUGGCUACAAUACUUUCUUAGUGGUAAAUUAGGUUUGUUAACCCUGUACAAUGUAAGGCACUUUGAGACCUUGGGGAAAUUGCUAACUUCAAUCCAUGCCUAACAGAUUGCCUAUCCAUUGUCUUUAUGGGAUCAACGCAACCGUUUCAAAGCAAAGUAAUGAAGUACCUGUGAGCCACUCGCAACAGCAUUUUCUUCCUCUCUUUCCUGACAGAUGAGAGCAGAGAAACAGUUAACCACAAGAAAGAUGUGGCUCAGUUGGUAGAGCAGGAAUUUGCAAAGCCAGGGUGUGGGCUUGAUUCCCACAGGGAACCAGUGCGAACAAAUAUGAAAAUGUAUACACUCACUACUGUAAGUCGCUCUGGAUAACAGUGUCUGCUAAAUGACUAAAAUGUAAAAUGGCUGUGGGCUAUGACGUUGUCUGCUAGUAGUAGGCCUACCGUGAAAAAGACUGUGGUCCUUGUUUGCAACCCUCCAUUUGAGCAAAUAACUGUCUGGGGAUUUAACUUGUAGUGAGUUUUCUCUAAAAUGUAAAUUUGUGGUACACAUUGUCUUGUAAUUGUACCAGUAAGUGUUUGGUUUAACUCCAUUCAUAAAGUUUUUGUUGAGUGCAGAAGACCUUUCAAUCUUUCACAAAGAGAGCAAGAGAGACACCCAGUGGUUAGGCACCAUCAUCACAUAUUCAAAUUUGGAAUUAUAUUUAUUGUCUUGCACUUAGAUAGUUACAUUUCACAAUGUUUAUUUAAUACAUUCGUAUCUCAAUAACAACAUUAUCAAUAGCAUCUGUUUUUCUUUCAGGUGACCUGAAAAGAGUCCUUUAGUGAAGUUUUACCUGUAUACUGUUGAAGAGGUCACAGAUUGCGUUCUCCUCUUCCUCGAUAUUGGAGCACACCUCCCCUAUCAUGGCCCUCAGCAUGAUAAUAGCUUCACGGGCCAAUGUCUGCAGCGCCUUCACUGCCUACAGAGGAAGCAAGGCUCACACAUGGACAUGGUAGAUAUGCUCAUUCACCUGGAACUAACCUGUAGCUAAACCAAACACACAUGAUCAUAUGCUUUAUCUCAAACCCAAGACCCAGCCUGUAGUUUUCAAAAACAACAUAAGGAUCCUAUAUUAUGGCAUGUAAAAUACAGAAUGGAAACAAUUCAGAGUUACUACAUAGGCCAUGGAGUUGUGAGGACUAUACAGAUAAAACAUGGAUUUUCAGAGGGGGUGACUGCGAACCAUCGAUGUUAUAACACACAAUGUAUGAAGAGAAUAAAAGUAAAUCCACUCACCAGCACUGCCUGCUCUAGUAUCUCACAUCCUUCCCAGCUAGAACAUUUGGUUCCUUGGAAGUUGUGGGAACAAAAGUUUUUGGUUUCCCAUUGUUUCUGGGAACAAAGUCAUAAGUUUCCUGACUGGUAAAAUGGAAUGUUUUUUAAACAUUCUGAGAACGGAAGUGAACAUUUCGCCUGUUCUAUUUUUAGGUUGCAUAGAAGUUCUGAGAACGUUUUACUCGGGUUCGUUCUGGAAUGUUUUAUUUACUCUGGUUCCUUCUGGGAGGUUUAAUUAACGCUAUGAGAAUGGAAAUUAUAGGUUAUUGAUUUUUUUUUUUUAUAACGUCCUUAAAACUUUUACUGAAUGUUUCAAUAAGACUUUAAUAACACUGCUAUCUUAUUUUGGGUAAACCUUUUUUUUUACUCCAAGCACAGAUAGGACACAUGGAAAUUAAUUUCCUUCGGCAUUAAUCAUGCAAACACAUUUAUUCUUUAUUGUGACACUGCAUCAGUGAGAUUCAAACCUAUAAUCUUCUAUUCUCUAUCCAUGGAAUUAGUCCAUUGCACCACCAAGAUGGAGCUAGCAUACCAUGUUUGUUUUUACGCAUACAAAGCUGUUCAUUUUAGUCUAUUCAAACAGACCCCAUUUCAAAGGAAACAAGGACUCCUUAACCUCAGGUGUGGCCAAUUAGUGGGCGUUGCCAACACACCUGAACACACUGAACAAGAUAGAGGAUAGAGAGUUUUGUUGAUGCUGAGAACAGAAUGUUUAAGGUUUUUAAUAACAUUCUUAGAACAUUCUCUGAAUGUUACUAAAGUUUUCUUGUGGUUUUAUGGAAAGUUUACUUAACGUUCUUGGCACAAUUUGAGAACAUGACUUUGAAUACAACCAUGAGGAAACCUGUAGGAAACGUUACGCUGAAGUACUGAAAAUCCCACAGAAGAACUGAAGUACUGAAAUUCCCACAGAAGAACGUUGUUUCUUAACGUUCUUGGAACAAUUUGAGAACAUUAUUUUAAAUAGAACCAUGAGGAAAACUGUAGGAAAUGUUAUGCUGAAGUACUAAAAUUCCCACAGAAGAACGUUGUUUCUUAAUGUUCUCUGAACUAUUUCAGAACAUUCCCAAUGCCAAACCAAUUGGAGAAUGUUUGAAAUGAAACGUAACCAUGUUUGAACUUUUAGGAAACGUUCUGUAUAAAGUAAUGAAAUACCAAGCAAAUUAUGUUUCUUUGUCAAGUUCCUUAAAUGUGCUGAGAAUGUUCCAAAAGCCAAGCAACUAUCUUGCACCAUUCCCAGAAUGUUAUGGGAAGGUUGUAUGCAAAACAACCAUAGGAUAACCACACCCUCACCAAGCUCUAUGAAACAUAUGGUUCUCAGAAAGUGCUAGCUGGGUUGCAUGUAUUCUGUAUUCUGCAAUGUUAAUGCAGUAUGUCAGGCUCUCCCUGUGAAAUUUCAAAUUGAAUCAAAUUUUAUUUGUCACAUGCUUCAUAUUCAACAUGUGUAGACUAACAGUGAAAUGCUUACUUACGGACCCUCCCAACAAUGCAGAGAGAAAGAAAAUAGAGAAAUAAUAGAAAAGUAAAACACAUAAUAAAAGUAAUAAUAAAUACACAAUGAGUAAAAAUAACUUGGCUAUACAUGGUACCAGAACCGAAUCUAAGUGCAGUAAUUUGGCAGAAACAUAAAUGAGCUUUACUAACAGUGUUCCUCCUGUGUGAAUCUUGUGUUGCUGUAGUAGGACCUUCACUCACACUUGUAUGUCUCUGAAACACUGUCUCUGAAACACACUUGUGGAGAUAAACACCAAGUUAAACCAUCACAUCACUAUUCCUUUAAUACAUAUUUCAACGCAAUGAAUAGUAUUUGCUAAAUAUUCAAUAAAUAAAUAAUUGUUCUUAUGUAAGGUAUUUUCCCUGGAAAAUAAUGCA